rnacentral:rRNA from 1 species
GACUGCUAAUACCGCAUGACACCUUCGGGUCAAAGGUUGCUUAGGCAGUCGCUGCACGAUGAGCCUGCGUUGGAUUAGCUAGUUGGUAAGGUAAAGGCUUACCAAGGCGAUGAUCCAUAGCUGUUCUGAGAGGAAGAUCAGCCACACUGGGACUGAGACACGGCCCAGACUCCUACGGGAGGCAGCAGUGGGGAAUAUUGGACAAUGGGGGCAACCCUGAUCCAGCAAUACCACGUGUGUGAAGAAGGCCUUAGGGUUGUAAAGCACUUUAGUUAGGGAGGAAGGUUGUUAGGUUAAGAGCUAGACAAUUCGACGUUACCUAAAGAAUAAGCACCGGCUAACUCCGUGCCAGCAGCCGCGGUAAUACGGAGGGUGCGAGCGUUAAUCGGAAUUACUGGGCGUAAAGGGUUCGUAGGUGGUUAGAUAAGUCAGAUGUGAAAGCCCUGGGCUCAACCUAGGAACUGCAUUUGAUACUGUUUAACUAGGGUUUACUAGAGGAUUGGGGAAUUUCCGGUGUAGCGGUGAAAUGCGUAGAGAUCGGAAGGAACAUCAAUGGCGAAGGCAACAAUCUGGGGUUAAACUGACACUGAGGGACGAAAGCGUGGGUAGCAAACAGGAUUAGAUACCCUGGUAGUCCACGCUGUAAACGAUGAGUACUAGCUGUUGGUUCUGGUGUAAAAGAAUUAGUGGCGCAGCUAACGCGAUAAGUACUCCGCCUGGGGACUACGGCCGCAAGGUUAAAACUCAAAGGAAUUGACGGGGACCCGCACAAGCGGUGGAGCAUGUGGUUUAAUUCGAUGCAACGCGAAGAACCUUACCUGCCCUUGACAUCCAUAGAAGAUCCGAGAGAUUGGAUUGUGCCUUCGGGAACUAUGAGACAGGUGCUGCAUGGCUGUCGUCAGCUCGUGUUGUGAAAUGUUGGGUUAAGUCCCGCAACGAGCGCAACCCUUAUUUUUAGUUGCCAUCAUUAAGUUGGGCACUCUAAAGAGACUGCCGCUGAUAAGGCGGAGGAAGGUGGGGACGACGUCAAGUCAUCAUGGCCCUUACGGGCAGGGCUACACACGUGCUACAAUGGGCAUUACAGAGGGGAGCGAAGCUGCGAGGUGGAGCGAAACUCAGAAAGGUGCUCGUAGUCCGGAUUGCUCUCUGCAACUCGAGAGCAUGAAGUCGGAAUCGCUAGUAAUCGCGGAUCAGAAUGCCGCGGUGAAUACGUUCCCGGGUCUUGUACACACCGCCCGUCACACCAUGGGAGUGGGUUGCAAAAGAAGUAGGUAGCUUAACCCUACCACU